ensembl:lncRNA
AUGUGCCUCUUUCUGCUAGUUAUUUUCAUUUUCAUCAGCGCCAGUGCAGCUGAGAUGUCGCCAGAGUUUCGUCGAUGCUCUCUCCAGUGGGUGAACGCCGGUCAAGUUAAAGUCAGCUGUAACAACACCCUGAUCGCACAGCUCUGUGAUCCUGAUCAGAGCUGUCGAAACACGAGCAAGCCCGGAGUCUCGCUGGAAAAGGACAGGGAAAGAGUAUGCCUAACCAUCACCAACUGCUCCUAUGAUUCAUGGUCCUGCGAAGCACGGGACUCCUAUGAUUCGUGGUCCUGCGAAGCACGGAGUUACAUCGAUGGCGAAGAAUCUUGGGAGAAUGUUACUGUCAACGUGACGUGCAACCAAUCCACCAGCACUUUGCCCAGUCCAGGCAAGUCACAUUCAGAGCCUCCUACAGAUUGGGUCACUGUGGCAAUCAUCGUGGUGAUCAUCAUCGUGGUGAUCAUCAUCGUGGUGAUCAUCAUCGUGGUGAUCAUCGUGCUUUACAUCUGUUACAAGAAGAGGACUCCUAACGAAGUGCAGGACACUGAGUUGGAAGAGAGGCAUAAUUUCCUCGAAUCAGAAAACGUGGUGUGAAGUAAUGAUUAAGAAAACCGUACUCCGGGAAUACAACAUGGAGGACUCUUCUGCCACCUCAGUUCAAAUAUGAUGUGCAAUAGUUAAGUUAAGUAUACAAGGUCGUCAACAGACCAUUGUCUUGUUGUAGAGGUCUGCAUGAGAGGACAUCCCACCUGUACUCGGCUAUCAAAAUCUGUGCCACACUGUUGGGUCAGAUCCCAUGGACGUGCCUUCAAACCUAGAACAGGGUUUUUCUACAUUUCAUGUUUACCUUUGAAACAAAGUCAUGAUAAGCUAAAGUACAUUUUACUCUGUAUAAGAGUGUCUUGCAAAUACUUCUGUUUAUAUAUACUGUGUAUUACUGUAUUAUUAGUUUUGUAAUCAGUAUAGAGACAGUAUUGUAAUCUUGUGCCAUCCUGAGGAGGAGGGCUUCCCCAGCUGAACAUCUCUCAAGGUUUAUGCCUCUUUAACUAAACCUUUUGGGGAGUUUUUUUUUUGCACUGUCACCUUUGGCUUCCUCACUGGGUGACACAAAGACCACAGUAUGUAUUUAAGAAGUGCUGCUUAAAAUGUAUUUGUAAAUAUUCUGUAUUUUAGUUUAUGGUGCUCUAAAUUAUCUUAAUUAACUUAAUGCUUGCACAUUUUUAUUGUAAAAUAAAAAUUAUUGAAGAAAAAUAUUUUUUGUUGGA